rnacentral:rRNA from 1 species
UACGAAGGGGGCUAGCGUUGUUCGGAUUUACUGGGCGUAAAGCGCACGUAGGCGGAUUGUUAAGUCAGGGGUGAAAUCCCAGGGCUCAACCCUGGAACUGCCUUUAAUACUGGCAAUCUCGAGUCCGAGAGAGGUGAGUGGAAUUCCGAGUGUAGAGGUGAAAUUCGUAGAUAUUCGGAGGAACACCAGUGGCGAAGGCGGCUCACUGGCUCGGUACUGACGCUGAGGUGCGAAAGCGUGGGGAGCAAACAGG